rnacentral:rRNA from 1 species
GAAGUCUGACGGAGCAACGCCGCGUGAGUGAUGAAGGUUUUCGGAUCGUACAGCUCUGUUGUUAGGGAAGAACAAGUACCGUUCGAAUAGGGCGGUACCUUGACGGUACCUAACCAGAAAGCCACGGCUAACUACGUGCCAGCAGCCGCGGUAAUACGUAGGUGGCAAGCGUUGUCCGGAAUUAUUGGGCGUAAAGGGCUCGCAGGCGGUUUCUUAAGUCUGAUGUGAAAGCCCCCGGCUCAACCGGGGAGGGUCAUUGGAAACUGGGGAACUUGAGUGCAGAAGAGGAGAGUGGAAUUCCACGUGUAGCGGUGAAAUGCGUAGAGAUGUGGAGGAACACCAGUGGCGAAGGCGACUCUCUGGUCUGUAACUGACGCUGAGGAGCGAAAGCGUGGGGAGCGAACAGGAUUAGAUACCCUGGUAGUCCACGCCGUAAACGAUGAGUGCUAAGUGUUAGGGGGUUUCCGCCCCUUAGUGCUGCAGCUAACGCAUUAAGCACUCCGCCUGGGGAGUACGGUCGCAAGACUGAAACUCAAAGGAAUUGACGGGGGCCCGCACAAGCGGUGGAGCAUGUGGUUUAAUUCGAAGCAACGCGAAGAACCUUACCAGGUCUUGACAUCCUCUGACAAUCCUAGAGAUAGGACGUCCCCUUCGGAGGCAGAGUGACAGGUGAUGCAU